rnacentral:rRNA from 1 species
UAGAGUUUUGGAUCUGGCUCAGGACGAACGCUGGCGGCGUGCUUAACACAUGCAAGUCGAACGGAAAGGCCCUGCUUUUGUGGGGUGCUCGAGUGGCGAACGGGUGAGUAACACGUGAGUAACCUGCCCUUGACUUUGGGAUAACUUCAGGAAACUGGGGCUAAUACCGGAUAGGAGCUCCUGCUGCAUGGUGGGGGUUGGAAAGUUUCGGCGGUUGGGGAUGGACUCGCGGCUUAUCAGCUUGUUGGUGGGGUAGUGGCUUACCAAGGCUUUGACGGGUAGCCGGCCUGAGAGGGUGACCGGCCACAUUGGGACUGAGAUACGGCCCAGACUCCUACGGGAGGCAGCAGUGGGGAAUAUUGCACAAUGGGCGGAAGCCUGAUGCAGCAACGCCGCGUGCGGGAUGACGGCCUUCGGGUUGUAAACCGCUUUCGCCUGUGACGAAGCGUGUAGUGACGGUAAUGGGUAAAGAAGCACCGGCUA